CUCACAUCUAUGAAUCAGUGAACGACUCUGAAAACACUGGAAAUGGUACAGUAACAAUAGAUUCAUACUGUAUGUUUAGUUAGAAAUGUCUGUAAUGAUUUAAUACUAAAACCAUCUGUAUAUUUCAGAUGAAUCUGAUGAUGCCACAUAUUAUUUGAUUGAACUUAAAACCUUUGGAAAGAAGAAGGAUGACAGUAAGGUGUAUGCCCAGAUCGACAGAAACAAGAAAGAGAAAGCCAAGGAAAACAAAGAAAAAUCUUCUGCUGCAGCGACAGAUGAACCUGUUUAUUCCCAAGUCAAACCUGGAACGUCUUUUGGUCUGUAAGGAAAACAAACCAAAGACAAAUGAUUGACAGUAUUUAAUAAAACCACUGUGAGCAUCUCUGCUAGAAAACAUGACAACAUGCUCAGUAGUUUGUCCUGUAAUGUGUUAAUAGAUGACACAACAGAACACAUCAUCACACAUGCUCCUAAGAUUAUGAUGUACAUAUUCUGUUAUUUCAGCACAAAGCACAGAUUGCUGGAUGUUCCAAACAGCAGCUAAAUGAUCAUUUAGUUGUACAGUAGGACAGAGGUGACGGUGCAGAGAGAAGCUUUUUCACACACGUUUACUGUGUAUAUGUAGUUUGAUCUACUACAUAUCCUGCUGAUAUAUGUACAGUAUGUAACUAUGUAUUUUGUAUUUGUAUUUUUACCUUUUUACACAUAUUUCCAGUAGUAAGUUGUUUGUUUUUAAUUGCUUUAUGUACUAAACACAUCCCACAGUCUUUUCCCUCUGACAUUAUCAAACUUGACAAAAGACAGAUUGUUGUUGUGUGAACUGUUCAGAGCAACAAGACAUUUGUUCUUUUCAUUUCAAAUGUCACAAACUAGUCCCGUUCAUCUCAGUUAUGUGAAGGUAGAAAGCUCCGAGACAUUCAGAUGAAAAACAUGAACAAAUACUGAAAAGUGUCUUCAUGGUGAGAUCCCACUAGGUGUGGAUGUAGGGAAAGUGUUGGUAAAUCUAGAGGAGAUCAGCAGAGAUUAGACGU
rnacentral:lncRNA from 1 species